rnacentral:rRNA from 1 species
CAAUAGCAUAUAUUAAAGUUGUUGCAGUUAAAAAGCUCGUAGUUGGAUUUCUGGGAGGAAUCCAAAGUCCGUCGCUUGACGUGUGCUGCGAAUUCCCCCAUCCUUCUGUUAACGAUUCUUGGUAUUCAUUUACUGGUUUCGGGCUCAGAUAUUUUACCUUGAGAAAAUUAGAGUGUUUCAGGCAGGCUUGCGCCGGAAUACAUUAGCAUGGAAUAAUAGAAUAGGACGUUUUGCUCCUUUGUUGGUUUGAGAGCAUAGCGUAAUGAUUAAUAGGGAUAGUUGGGGGCAUUAGUAUUUAAUUGUCAGAGGUGAAAUUCUCGGAUUUGUUAAAGACUAACUUAUGCGAAAGCAUUUGCCAAGGAUGUUUUCAUUAA